rnacentral:rRNA from 1 species
AUGACGAGCGGCGGACGGGUGAGUAAUGCCUGGGAAUAUGCCUUGAUGUGGGGGAUAACCAUUGGAAACGAUGGCUAAUACCGCAUAAUGCCUACGGGCCAAAGAGGGGGAUCUUCGGACCUCUCGCGUCAAGAUUAGCCCAGGUGGGAUUAGCUAGUUGGUGAGGUAAUGGCUCACCAAGGCGACGAUCCCUAGCUGGUCUGAGAGGAUGAUCAGCCACACUGGAACUGAGACACGGUCCAGACUCCUACGGGAGGCAGCAGUGGGGAAUAUUGCACAAUGGGCGCAAGCCUGAUGCAGCCAUGCCGCGUGUGUGAAGAAGGCCUUCGGGUUGUAAAGCACUUUCAGUCGUGAGGAAGGUAGUUGCGUUAAUAGCGUAAUUAUUUGACGUUAGCGACAGAAGAAGCACCGGCUAACUCCGUGCCAGCAGCCGCGGUAAUACGGAGGGUGCGAGCGUUAAUCGGAAUUACUGGGCGUAAAGCGCAUGCAGUGGUUUGUUAAGUCAGAUGUGAAAGCCCGGGGCUCAACCUCGGAAUUGCAUUUGAAACUGGCAGACUAAAGUACUGUAUAGGGGGGUAGAAUUUCAGGUGUAGCGGUGAAAUGUGUAUAGAUUUGAAGGAA